GCCGGAGUGGUGAAAUUGGUAGACGCAGCGGACUCAAAAUCCGCCGCCGCAAGGCGUGCCGGUUCGAUUCCGGCCUCCGGCA
rnacentral:tRNA from 1 species